rnacentral:rRNA from 1 species
GCAGUGUGGAAUACUGGGCAAUGGGCGAAAGCCUGACCCAGCGACGCCGCGUGGGGGAAGAAGGCCUUCGGGUUGUAAACCCCUUUUGCAGGGGACGACACAGGACGGUACCCUGCGAAUAAGCCACGGAUAACUCUGUCCCAGCAGCCGCGGUAAGACAGAGGUGGCGAGCGUUGCUGGGAUUCACUGGGUUUAAAGGGCGCGUAGGUGGUUUUGUAUGUCUAAGGUGGAAUUCCACAGCUUAACUGUGGGAGUGCCUUUGAUCUGCAAGGCGUGAGUCAGGCAGAGGAGGGCAGAAUUCCCGGUGUAGCGGUGAAAUGUGUAGAUAUCGGGAGGAAGCCCUGUGGAGAAGGCGGCUCUGUGGGCGUGCACUGACAGUGAGGCGAGAAAGCGUGGGGAGCAAACAGGAUUAGAUACCGUUGUUGUCCACGCCAUAAACGGUGGGCUAUAGGUGUGGGGUCCAUAUCGACUCUGUGCCGA